CCUACGGGUGGCAGCAGUGGGGAAUAUUGCACAAUGGGGGAAACCCUGAUGCAGCGACGCCGCGUGAGUGAAGAAGUAUUUCGGUAUGUAAAGCUCUAUCAGCAGGGAAGAAAUAAAGUCCUUCGGACUUUGGACGGUACCUGACUAAGAAGACCCGGCUAACUACGUGCCAGCAGCCGCGGUAAUACGUAGGGGGCAAGCGUUAUCCGGAUUUACUGGCUUUAAAGGGAGCGUAGACGGCAGCGCAAGUCUGGAGUGAAAUCCCAUGGCUUAACCAUGGAACUGCUUUGGAAACUGUGCAGCUGGAGUGCAGGAUAGGUAAGCGGAAUUCCUAGUGUAGCGGUGAAAUGCGUAGAUAUUAGGAGGAACACCAGUGGCGAAGUCGGCUUACUGGACUGUAACUGACGUUGAGGCUCGAAAGCGUGGGGAGCAAACAGGAUUAGAUACCCUGGUAGUC
rnacentral:rRNA from 1 species